GAUGAACGCUGACAGAAUGCUUAACACAUGCAAGUCUACUUGAUUCUACUUCGGUAGUUGAUGGUGGCGGACGGGUGAGUAACGCGUAAAGAAUCUGCCCUUUAGUUUGGGAUAACCUUUGGAAACGAAGGCUAAUACCGGAUAUUAUGGAGACGUCGCAUGGCGACUCCAUGAAAGCUAUAUGGGCUGGAGGAGGACUUUGCGUCCCAUUAGUUAGUUGGUGAGGUAAUGGCUCACCAAGACCGCGAUGGGUAGCAGGCCUGAGAGGGUGAUCGGCCAAAAGGGAACUGAGACACGGUCCUUACUCCUACGGGAGGCAGCAGUGGGGAAUAUUGGACAAUGGGCCACAAGCCUGAUCCAGCAAUUCUGUGUGCACGAUGAAGGUCUUCGGAUUGUAAAGUGCUUUCAGUAGGGAAGAAAAAAAUGACGGUACCUACAGAAGAAGCGACGGCUAAAUAUGUGCCAGCCGCCGCCGUAAAAC
rnacentral:rRNA from 1 species